rnacentral:rRNA from 1 species
CCCUUAGACGUUCUGGGCCGCACGCGCGCUACACUGACCAGUGCAACAAGCAUCCGUCCUUGGCCGACAGGCCCGGGCAAUCUUUGAACGCUGGUCGUGAUGGGGAUAGACUUUUGCAAUUUUUGGUCUUCAACGAGGAAUUCCUAGUAAACGCAAGUCAUCAACUUGCAUUGAUUACGUCCCUGCCCUUGUACACACCGCCCGUCGCACCUACCGAUUGAAUGGUCCGGUGAAGCCUCCGGAUUGGCGCGCACCUCGGUGCCGCCGAGAAGUUGGCUAAACCUUACCAUUUAGAGGAAGGUGAAGUCGUAACA